CCCUCCGCCCCCCGCGGCACUGCGCGGGGCCCUGAGAGCGGGGUGAGGGCACCUGCCGCGGGGAUGCCGGUGGGAGCCGGACGGACCGGCGGCGUUCGCCUCUCGCUGCCGGGACGGAAAAGUUGGGCGCGUGCGGAAUAUACGUUAACUUUUUGAUUUUGUUUUAUCCCUGCCUCAGCCUUAGGACAAGUCCAUUAGCAUGCUAAGCCACGGUGGCUAACCCUGACGCAGGUCAUCGCUGCUAACUGUUCCCCUUGGUUCCUCACCGCAAGAGUCCCUGUGCCGACCCAGCCAACCCCCAGUCCAUCAAAGCUGUUCGGUACCAGAUGUAAUGCCUAUCCCUAACUUACCAAUAAUCUUUUGUACGCCCACAUGAAAACACAUCACAGCCCCCUUUUAUCAAAAUUAAAAAAAAAAUAAACAUUUACAAUAAUUUUGAGAAUGUAUUCUACAACAUACCCAUGUAUACAUGUUACACCUCGAUGAAAAACGUUCUUAAAUACAUUGUAAUACUUCAGUUCCUGAUAUAGAAUCAUAGAAUCGUUUGAGUUGGAAGGGACCCUUAAAGGCCAUCCAGUCCAAAGCCACUGCAAUGAGCAGGGAUACCAACAGCCAGAUCAGGUGCUCACAGCCUCAUCCAGCCCGGCCUUGGGUGUCCCCAGGGCCAGGGCAUCCACCACCUCUCUGGGCAACUUGCUUCGGUGCCUCUCAACCUUUACUGUAAAACACUUUUUUCUUACAUCCAACCUAAAUCUCCUCUCAUUUAGUUUGAAAUCGUUUCCCCUUGUCCUGUCACAACAGACCCUUCUGAAGAGUCUACCCUCUUCUUUCUUACAGCUCGCGUUUAGAUAUUGAAAGGCAGCUAUACCAUCCCCUGGGAGCCUUCUCUUCUGCAGGCUGAACAGCCCCAGCUCUCUCAGCCUGUCCUCAUAGGAGAGCUGUUCCAUCCCUUUGAUCAUUUUUGUGGCCCUCCUCUGGACACACUCCAACAGGUCCAUGUCUCUGCUGUACCGAGGACUCUGCAUCUGGAUGCAGUACUCCAGGUGAGGCCUCCCCAGCACAGAGCAGAGGGGCAGGAUCACCUCCCUCAACCUGCUGGCUGUGUUUCUUUCGUUGCAGCCCAGGCAACAGUCGGCUUUUUGGGCUGCAAGGGCACACUGCUGGCUCAUGUCCAGCUUGCCACUAAGCAGUACCCCCAGGUCCUUUUCAGCAGCCCGAAAUUAAUUCUGGUGCAACUAAUUCAUAGAGGUAGAUACAAUUUAAAAUCUGUAGAGCACCUUUAAAUAUGAAAAUGUGAAACUAAAUAUUAUUCAAAGAUCCACACAUUGGGCAUUGAUUAUAUUAACCUAUUCAACUGUAUUCAUGCUACAGUCAGUAAUGAAAUAUACCCAAGCACAGUAAGAGUAUUAUUAUGUGAAAAUUGUAAGAUCUUUCUACCAUUUCUGGUAGAAAAUGAUGGUAUUUCAAAAGAAAUUUGAUUAUUCUACCUUUUUUCUCUACAUUUUUCAUUUCUCUAUAGCCUAAUAGUAGGUACAUGCAAAACUAUCUCAUGCCUUUGUGUGAGUUCAUACGAAUUGAAUUCCAAAUGAAACAUUUAUAAGUAUUACUAUCAAAAAUAUUGCAGGUCUACAGAGUUAUUUCUUUUCAAUGCAAUUAGUUACAGUGUGAAUGUAAAGCAUCUCUCACUGUAGCUGUAUAGGCUUUACGUGAGAAACCAAAUGGAGAGAGAAAAUUGGGUCACAUGGGAAGGUUAAGGCCAGAACUACCACUAUGGUAUUCAGUUCAAUUUCCAGCAGAGAGAUGAUUUUAGCUGUCAUUUCUGUAAUAUUUUAAAAUAUGUUGUAUUUUACUCAUAUCCAGCUACCAUUUCAUGAGCUGAAAUGGCAGGAAAUCGUCUUCAGCAAACUUGUUCAACUCCAUGAUUAAAAGUAUAAUCUACAAGCAAUAGCCUCCUUUGGCAGGAGGAGUAUUUCAAUAUACUUCUCUGAUUCCAGUAGAAAAUUGCAGGGGAAACCUGGUUGGAUAAAUCCAACAGUGAUAAUAUCUGUUGGAUAAACCCAACAGAUCACAUUAUAAUACAGCAAGAUACUAAAUUCCAAAAUAUCUUCCACUCUUCCUAGUAUUUUCCUACAGCAAUGUCCUAGUAGCAGUUAUCAUCUUAUCACUGCAAUGAAAUUCAUUAUUUAUCUACCCAUAAUUAGCUGUCAAUAACUACAGCACAACUAAAUUAGCUGUCAAUAACUACAGCACAACUAUGGCUGCUGCUAGAGUUAAUAUGAUCAGGUUGUACCAAGCAUCAUGAGAUAUUUAAAUCAGUUUUACAGGUGAAAGAUGUACAAUGAGACCUCACCGCCAUUUACUUUACUCUCACUCUCUCAUUACUGCUUAUAGGAGCUCCAGUGAAAGUCUUUCUCAUCUCUAAGCAGCCAAAGGACAGGCAUCUACUCCAGCAUAGGUGCUGGGCAUCUUAAGGACACUGUGGACACAGAGCAGCGUCUGGCCCAUGUGAUGCACUGCUGGAAAUUGAGGGAGAAAAGGAAGGCACGACAUACAGCGAGAACACUUGUUUCUGCGACACUACCACUAGCAGAACACACUAAUUAGUCCAACAGAGUCUGCAAUGUCUCUUCCAACACUGGAAACCCAUCUGGGGGCUGCUAACUAGAGCAACAGGCAUAAUUUGCUUAAUUAGAGACUUUCACUUAUCAACCAGUGCCACGACACAGGAUCAAAAGAUUGUAAUUGCUGAAUAACGUUGUCAAAGUAAGUGCAUGCUAAUUUAUUUCUGGGAUUAUGGCAAGAACUACAAAGUAAAAUACAUUUAUCUAUUAAUUGAAAACAUCUGAAUAGCAAAACAUCAGCAAGAAGUUCUUUUUACAGAUUAUUUACAAAAAGGACUUCAUUCACACAAGUACUGUUAUGUAUUGUUCUGUUCCCAGUCUGUACCCACACACAUUCCACAGCCAGUGGAGCUUUACACAUGAACAUCUCUACUUCUGCUUCAAUUAAUCUUAUAGACUUGACUCCAGAGACAGCUACCAAAAAUCAUGCCAGCCGGUUGCUUGCACAGUGCAUUCUUAUCAGAAUAGUUGAAAUGCCAGCAGCGACACUGUUUUCCUCUAACUCACUAAUGCUAAAAGGAUCAGGAAAUAAGUCCUGCAGAGCACCGCUGAAGACAGGCACAUUCAAUGCUUGUGAUUGUUAUUUUGGUGUUUAGCAACUGAACAGUUUCUUGAAAGAAAAAAAAAAAGACGGUGGCUCAUACUAAGCCAUGAAGCAUCUCUUGACACCAAGUGAAGUGUCUUCAUAGCCACAGCCUAACGCAAAAAGAGAUCACACUUCAAAUACACAAGCCAGAUGUGUCCUUUCAAGUGAUACUUUUUAGUAUGUACUCACAUACGUAGUGCAGCUUCUACUGUUUAAUCACAUAACUGAACUUGCUAAUGUUAAAUGGUGAUGAAGGUACACUAAUUUACAAGGUUUCAGAGCUACUUCCAUGGAUACAACAUCACCCCUGCUCAGUUUGGGAGAUUAUUUCAAAAUAAGUCAUCUUUUAAUAUAUGCAUUAUAAAAACAAUCAGCUACAAGCACCACAUAAAAACAACAACAAAAAAGAGGCAUUACUUUAAUCAGUUAAUGAAACUCAUGGUAUACAACUGCUCAAUAAAAUACUUUUAUUCACGCACUCAGUGUAAAGAUGCAUCCAACAAAUAUUACAUCGUAAGAGGAACAGACUUGAAUUUAUUAAUUCAUUAAUACUUCUAAAUUCACUUUAAGUGGAAUUUCCCUGAGGUUAAGAAAAGCGUCUUUUGUAACCGUACAACAUCAAUAGCUCAUCAGUGCUAUCGGGGAAAAAAACUGGACAUGGGCAUUUAACAAAAGGAGAGCUCAACAGUACGUGCUAGAAACUGUUAGCCAAGGUCACUGCUGGGGUAUUGUGACUGCUGCUGGAUCGUGACCAGUACUGCAGAUAGGGAUAAAUACCAUAGACAGGUUUUGGAAAAAACAUGACACAAAUGGAGGGAAACAAACUCUGACUUAGGAAUGUAUGAACACAGAACUAAAUGCUUUGGAUAGGGUCCAACCCUUAGGUCAGACAUUUCGUUGCCUUUUAAAAGAACAACAGCACAAACACACAUGCACGCACAAAAACCCAUACCCCAAACCAGAUAUCUUUUUCAAAAAAAAGCCUUCAACCAGUGAGGAGACACAAGCAGCACUCCUCAAAUACACCUGCCCAACAAGAAAGCAGGACGAAGUAUUGCACAGUCACUUAGGCUAGCAAAAUCACCCUAAAAUGUUAUGCAAAAGUUUUCCAAAUCAUGGCAGCAGCACAACCUGUGACCUGACCCUAUCGCUACUGAUGUUAAUGGCAAAUUUCUUUCUAUAUUAGAUUGCAGAUGAGGCCUUACAAAAGAGGCCCAAAAGGUCUGGGAUUUGUUUCACAUUAACAAAA